rnacentral:lncRNA from 1 species
AUGGCCCAGCCCGUCCCUCGGCUAUCUAUCUCUGCAGUGCUGGCCCUGGACUGGCAGCGCUGGGCACUGCCUUAGCUACUGGUCUCUUGCUGGGGAACCAGUGGCCUCCGUGGGGGGCGGGGGGUCUAGGCAGCAAUGGUGCUUGCUGCCACCUGAGGACAAUCCCCUGUGGCAGUAUCUGCUGAGCUGCUUCAUGAGGGAGCUGAGGAGCCUGUGAUUGCUGAACCUGGAGCAGCCGCAGGGGGAUUCCAUGAUGAUCUGUGAACAGGCCCAGCUUCUGACCAACCUGGCGCAGCUCAUCAAGGCCAAGAAAGCUCUGGAUCUGGGUACUUUCACGGGCUACUCGAUCCUGGCCCUAGCCUUGGCACAUCCACGAGGCAUGACCUGCAGAGCCCCGGAAGCUGGGACAACCUCUUUGGAAGCAGGCAGAAGUGGAGCAGAAGAUGGACCUUUGGCUACAGCCCGCCCUGCAGACAGACAUUGGUUGAGCUCCUGGUGGAAGGCCAGGCCAGGGGAACUGUGUCUCCUACUACAGAGCAGAGGGAGCUCUGUCUGCAGCUCCUAAACCCAGAAGUAAGCUAGGAGUAC